GAUGAACGCUGGCGGCGUGCCUAAUACAUGCGAGUCGAGCGAACGGACGAGAAGCUUGCUUUUCUGAUGUUAGCGGCGGACGGGUGAGUAACACGUGGAUAACCUACCUAUAAGACUGGGAUAACUUCGGGAAACCGGAGCUAAUACCGGAUAAUAUUUUGAACCGCAUGGUUCAAAAGUGAAAGACGGUCUUGCUGUCACUUAUAGAUGGAUCCGCGCUGCAUUAGCUAGUUGGUAAGGUAACGGCUUACCAAGGCAACGAUGCAUAGCCGACCUGAGAGGUGGAGCGGCCCCCUGGAAAAGAGGACCGGGCCCAAACCCCCAGGGGAGGGAGGAGUAGGGAAUUUUCCGCAAUGGGAGAAGGCCGGCCGGAGCACCGCCGGGGGAGUGAUAAAGCUUUUGGUAUUGUAAAACUUUUUUUUUAGGGAAAAAAAUAUUUUUAAUUAACUGGCCACAUCUUGAAGGAACCUAAUCAGAAAGCCCCGGCUAAAUACGG
rnacentral:rRNA from 1 species